rnacentral:rRNA from 1 species
AUAGCGUAUAUUAAAGUUGUUGCAGUUAAAAAGCUCGUAGUUGAACUUCAGACCUGGCUGGGCGGUCCGCUUAACGGCGUGUACUGUCUGGCUGGGCCUUACCUCUUGGUGAGCCGGCGUGCCCUUUAUUGGUGUGCGUCGGGGAACCAGGACUUUUACCUUGAGAAAAUUAGAGUGUUCAAAGCAGGCCUAUGCCCGAAUACAUUAGCAUGGAAUAAUAAAAUAGGACGUGCGGUUCUAUUUUGUUGGUUUCUAGAGUCGCCGUAAUGAUUAAUAGGGAUAGUUGGGGGCAUUGGUAUUGAGUCGCUAGAGGUGAAAUUCUUGGAUUGACUCAAGACCAACUAUUG